CUCUUAUCAAGAGAGGUGGAGGGACUGGCCCGAUGAAGCCCGGCAACCGACCGCAACCUGCGGUAAAGGUGCCAAUUCCUGCAGAACAUGAAUGUUCUGACAGAUGAGAG
rnacentral:ncRNA from 1 species